GGUGGGACCAUCACGUGACCUCCGAAACGCUGGCUUUCGUAUCCUUGCUCUCGGUCUAGGCAAAAGAUUCCGAAGAACUCAACUCAUUAAAAAAAAAACAACAACAACAAUAAGCAAAGAUAUAUAUUCAGUGCGGCUGACUUCAGAAAGCUCAAGAGUGUUGUGAGGUCAAUCAAACGACUUGCUUGUGGAGUGCGGAGACGUGUUCUCGACCAAGGAGAGCAACAAAUUCAGCGUCAAAGAGUCCAUGAUAUAAUGAUGAAGCAGAUGAAUGAUCCAGACAGCCAUUGUCAAAAACAGCAACAUAAGUGUAGUCACGAAAGCCAAAAAUGGACAGCAAGAAAGAGAAGAGAAUGAAGGGCCUGGGGAAGAAAAGGAAUGAAGUGGUCACUCGGCAAAAGGAUUACUCGGAUCACAAUGGGACAUUCGUGAAUGACAGCAUUGAGUGGUUUUACACCCGAAGUGAUAUCGCUAAGGUCAAGGUGAAAGCUCCAUCCUCGUUUCUGAACGCAAACCACUUGUGGUAUUUUAAGUCAUUUGGCAAUAACUCAGUGGAUAGAUCAGUUGCGUGGUUGUAAACUUCAUUUAGAAGGAGGCGCCCUGGUCACUAACACAAGCGAAAAGGGUCUGGUUGCUAACACAAACGGUGGAUGGAUGUCUCUUAAAGAAACAAAUGAUACCUGCUUCAGUGAUCAAGGACUCUGUGCAGCUAAAGGAAUGACUUUCAUGUCAUGGCUGAAACUCAAUCAGAGCUCUCUCAAGAAGACUACAAGUUCAUACAUCAU